rnacentral:rRNA from 1 species
GACGAACCGUGCGAAUGUUGUUCGGAAUCACUGGGCUUAAAGGGCGCGUAGGCGGGCUGUCAAGUCUGGGGUGAAAUGCCGCGGCUCAACCGUGGAACUGCCUUAGAUACUGACGGCCUCGAGGAAGGUAGGGGCAUGCGGAACUGUAGGUGGAGCGGUGAAAUGCGUUGAUAUCUACAGGAACUCCGGUGGCGAAAGCGGCGUGCUGGACCUUUUCUGACGCUGAGGCGCGAAAGCUAGGGGAGCAAACGGGG